GGCUCUGUGGCUCAAGUGGUAGAGUGCUUGCCUUGCAUGCAUGAGGCCCUGGGUUCGAUUCCUCAGCACCA
rnacentral:tRNA from 1 species